UUUCCCUCAGGAUAGCUGGCACUCGCUCGAUAGCGAGUCUCAUCUGGUAAAGCGAAUGAUUAGAGGCCUUGGGGCCGAAACGACCUCAACCUAUUCUCAAACUUUAAAUGGGUGAGAUCUCUGGCUUGCUUGAACGUUGAAGCCAUGAGAUCGCGUUUCCGUGUUGCAAAACACGGAGCGCCUCACGGAUCAGAGUGCCAAGUGGGCCAAUUUUGGUAAGCAGAACUGGCGCUGUGGGA
rnacentral:rRNA from 1 species